ACUCCUACGGGAGGCAGCAGUGGGGAAUUUUGGACAAUGGGCGCAAGCCUGAUCCAGCCAUGCCGCGUGAGUGAAGAAGGCCUUCGGGUUGUAAAGCUCUUUCAGCCGGAAAGAAAUCGUGCGGGCUAAUACCCUGUAUGGAUGACGGUACCGGAAGAAGAAGCACCGGCUAACUACGUGCCAGCAGCCGCGGUAAUACGUAGGGUGCGAGCGUUAAUCGGAAUUACUGGGCGUAAAGGGUGCGCAGGCGGCUCUGUAAGUCAGAUGUGAAAUCCCCGGGCUUAACCUGGGAACUGCGUUUGAAACUGCAGAGCUAGAGUGCAGCAGAGGGAGGUGGAAUUCCAUGUGUAGCAGUGAAAUGCGUAGAGAUAUGGAAGAACAUCGAUGGCGAAGGCAACCUCCUGGGCUAGCACUGACGCUCAUGCACGAAAGCGUGGGGAGCAAACAGGAUUAGAUACCCUGGUAGUCCACGCCCUAAACUAUGUCAACUAGUUGUCGGGUCUUAUUAGACUUGGUAACGUAGCUAACGCGUGAAGUUGACCGCCUGGGGAGUACGGUCGCAAGAUUAAAACUCAAAGGAAUUGACGGGGACCCGCACAAGCGGUGGAUUAUGUGGAUUAAUUCGAUGCAACGCGAAAAACCUUACCUACCUUUGACAUGUCAGAAAAUUUUCAGAGAUGAAUUUGUGCCCGAAAGGGAAUCUGAACACAGGUGCUGCAUGGCUGUCGUCAGCUCGUGUCGUNAGAUGUUGGGUUAAGUCCCGCAACGAGNGCAACCCUUGUCAUUAAUUGCCAUCAUUUAGUUGGGCACUUUAAUGAGACUGCCGGUGAUAAACCGGAGGAAGGUGGGGAUGACGUCAAGUCCUCAUGGCCCUUAUGGGUAGGGCUUCACACGUAAUACAAUGGCG
rnacentral:rRNA from 1 species